CAUUCACAUUCAAGAGUUAGAGAAGUGGUAAGAUAUACACAUUUUGGUCCAAAAAUUGUCCAUAUCCCAGGGGUUAUAGAUGCGUAAAUAUACUUGUAUAAAUGAUUUUCUAAUUCUUUUUUUUUUUCUCUCUCUUUCCAUCUGCUAUUGUCCACUAAGUUUGGGAUAAUAUAUGUAUGGGCUCAAAUCACCAAUAAUUCACUUUUAGAUACGUUACACGGUUUAUCGUUAAGCAGUGCUGUGUACAACAAUGGCUAGCAAGGAAAGGCUCUUCAAUCCAACUCUAUUGCUUAUAAUUAUCAUGUCAUCCUUGUGGGGUUCGUCAGCGGCCUUAGACACGCUAAAGCAAGGCGAUGUUCUUAAUUCUUCCCAGAACCUCGUUUCUGCCAAACAGAGGUUCACCUUAGGAUUCUUCAGCCUAACUUCUUAUUAUGGAGACAAAAAAAACAGUUACUUGGGCAUUUGGUACACAAAUUAUACGGAAAACAAAGUAUGGAUCGCCAACCGAAACAGACCUAUUUCAGAUGAUUCAAGAGCGUUUCUUACCCUUGACCAUCUGGGAAAGUUGAUGAUCAAUUCCAGUGGAUUUGGAGGUGAUCCUUUUGAGAUAUAUUCUGGUGGUGGAACUGAAAGCACAAGUGUUACUCUACUAGACGAUGGCAACUUAGUAGUAUCAGAAGUGAACUCCAAUGGCUCUAUUGGAAGGAGCUUGUGGGAAAGCUUCGAUGAUCCCACUGACACGCUUCUGCCUGGGAUGAAAUUGGGUGUCAAUCACAAAACUGGGCGUAAUUGGUCUCUUACUUCAUGGUUGGCAGAAAAUGAUCCAGCAUCAGGAGCCUUCACACUCGAGUGGGAACCCAAGACAAGGAGAUUGGUCAUCAAGCGGCGAGGGGUACCUUAUUGGAGUAGCGGUCUGCAGGUGAGCAGCUCGAAGAAUGUAUCCUUGUUUGAAUAUAUUCACCCCACCAAAGGUCAGGAUUACAUUAUCAAUACGGAUGCAGAAGGGCAGUACUUCACUUAUUCUCUUGACACUGAGUUUGACUCGUUGGAUCAAGAAAGAUCGGCAUGGCAGUUACAAUACUGGGGCUCGAUAAUGGAUAGAGGCAUUUCAAUUAUGAAGAUGAGUUUUUGCUAUGGUUACGGUAUGGAUGAUGAAGGAUGCGAGACAUGGAAUCAACCAGAGUGCAGGCUUAUGGGUCGCCAAACGUUUGAGCAAAAAUCUGGAAUCUUUACACGUAUAGGUCCUGACGGUCUACCGCAACUUGCAGCCGGUGUUUUUGAUAACAGACCAACCAUUGGUCCUGCUGAUUGUAGAGAUCUUUGCUGGAAUAACUGUGACUGUCUGGGCUAUAGUGGAAAAGAAGGAACUGGAUCUGGAUGCCAGUAUUGGGAAGGAAAUGUAACAUUCAAUCCUGAUGAUGGACGUUCUCGUUCAAGAAUUUUAAAAUAUGUUCUAACGAAAGAAGAUCCUUCAAAUAAAGAUGAUAAGGAAAAUAAGAAAUGGAUUGUACCAGUGAUCGUUUCUGCUAUACUUGUGCUUUUCUUUGGCACCUUCUGCUUAUGGAGGAUAUAUCGACAACGAGUUGACGUCGAAAGAAGGGAAGAGAAACACCUACUUGAGCUCACAACACCUGAUAGAUUAUUAGAUGCAGAUGAGCUUGAAAAAGACGGAAAUGCAAGACAUAAUAUAAAAGUGUUCAGCUUUGCAUGUAUUGUAGCAGCUACAAAUAACUUCUCGCCUGAAACUAAGCUUGGAGAAGGUGGUUUUGGACCCGUUUAUAAGGGAGCAUUACCUGAGGGGCGAGAAAUAGCAAUAAAAAGGUUGUCAAGAAAUUCAGGACAAGGAUUAGUGGAGUUCAAAAAUGAGCUUAUUCUUAUAGCUAAACUCCAACACAUGAAUCUUGUCAGACUCCUUGGAUGCUGCUUUCAAGGAGAGGAAAAGAUGUUGAUUUAUGAGUUCAUGCCCAACAGAAGUUUGGAUUCCUUUCUCUUCGAUCCAACUAAAAAUUAUCUAUUGGACUGGAAAAUACGAGUCAAUAUCAUUGAAGGGAUUGCUCAAGGACUACUUUACCUUCACAAAUACUCAACGUUAAAAGUAAUACAUAGAGAUUUGAAAGCUAGUAACAUUUUGCUAGAUGAAAACAUGUGUGCCAAAAUAUCUGAUUUUGGUAUGGCAAGAAUUUUCAAGCGUGAUGGAUUGGAAGCAAAUACUAAUAGAAUUGUCGGGACAUAUGGUUACAUGUCCCCUGAGUAUGUCAUGGAGGGCAUUUUCUCUGAAAAAUCUGAUGUAUUCAUCUUUGGUGUUCUAAUGCUUGAAAUUGUGAGCGGAAGGAAGAACAACAGCUUCUAUAAUGUUAACGGCCCACUGAACCUCGUAGGAUAUGCAUGGGAGUUGUGGCAAAGAGAUGCUAGAAAGACAUAAUGGAUCCAACUUUAAAAGAUUCAUGCCCUAUGCACCAAUUGCUAAGAUUCAUUCACGUGGCUCUCUUAUGUUUACAAGAUAGUGCGGCGGACAGACCUACAAUUCUAGAAGUUAUUUCUAUGCUUAAAAAUGAAACUGCGCCACUUCCCAUUCUUAAAAAGUCAGCAAUUUUCACGGAAAGCAAUGUCAAUAAUGAAGAUUUACAAAGAAAAGGGUCAGAAAACCGUUCAGUAAAUGGCUUGUCCAUUUCUAGAAUGGAUGCAAGAUAG